rnacentral:lncRNA from 1 species
CAUGUGCCUACAUUAUUAGUUUGACAUCUCCAUGUCCAUGACUUGUGAAACAUAGUCAUCCACUAAUACAUGUACUAGUCUAAUAUUCAUGUGUGUCCUCACAUGAACUCCGACUAGGGACAACUUUAGAAUAACCAUACAAGUAAAGAAUUUCAGAUACAAUUCACAUAAUUGCAAAUCAAUUCAAGUAGACUUUAAUGGAUAUUCAAUGAGCACAAUAUACAAAUUAUGGAUACAAUCAUAUAUCAUCAUCUCUAUGAUUGCCUCUAGGGCAUACCUCCAACAGUCUCCCACUUGCACUAGAGUCAAUCUAGAAGGUAUCUAAUACCCAUAGCUCUUUCAUGCGCAUCAUGCUUAGCCUACGGGAGUGGUUUUUGUCAACGGAUCAGAAAUGUUCAGAUCUGUGUGUAUUUUGCAUAUCUUGAUCUCACCCCGGUUAAUGAAGUCUCGAAUG